rnacentral:rRNA from 1 species
UAGCAUGGAAUAAUGGAAUAGGACGCGUGGUUCUAUUUUGUUGGUUUCUAGGACCGCCGAAUGAUUAAUAGGGACAGUCGGGGGCAUCAGUAUUCAAUUGUCAGAGGUGAAAUUCUUGGAUCUAUUGAAGACUAACUACUGCGAAAGCAUUUGCCAAGGAUGUUUUCAUUGAUAAGGAACGAAAGUUAGGGGAUCGAAGACGAUCAGAUACCGUCGUAGUCUUAACUAUAAACUAUGCCGACUAGGGAUCGGACGAUGUUAUUUCUUGACGCGUUCGGCACCUUUCGAGAAAUCAAAGUGCUUGGGCUCCAGGGGGAGUAUGGUCGCAAGGCUGAAACUUAAAGAAAUUGACGGGAGGGCACCACCAGGGGUGGAACCUGCGGCUUAAUUUGACUCAACACGGGGAAACUCACCAGGUCCAGACACAGUGAGGAUUGACAGAUUGAGAGCUCUUUCUUGAUUCUGUGGGUGGUGGUGCAUGGCCGUUCUUAGUUGGUGGAGUGAUUUGUCUGCUUAAUUGCGAUAACGAACGAGACCUUAACCUGCUAAAUAGCCCGUACUGCUUUGGCAGUUCGCCGGCUUCUUAGAGGGACUAUCGGCUCAAGCCGAUGGAAGUUUGAGGCAAUAACAGGCCUGUGAUGCCCUUAGAUGUCCUGGGCCGCACGCGCGUUACACUGACAGGGCCAGCGAGUACCUCCUUGACCGAAAGGUCCGGG